rnacentral:rRNA from 1 species
AUUGAACGCUAGCGGGAUGCUUUACACAUGCAAGUCGAACGAGUGGCGGACGGGUGCGUAAUAUAUCGGAACGUGCCCAGUAGCGGGGUAUAACUACUCUAACGAGUGGCUAAUACCGCAUACUCUUGGCGCGGCCGAUACGGGAUUAGGUAGUUGGUGGGGUAAAGGUCAACCAAGGCAACUAUCCGUAGCUGGUUUGAGAGGACGACCAGCAACACUGGGACGUAGAAACGGCCCAGACUCCUACGUGAGGAAGCAGUGGGGAAUGUUGGACAAUGGGGGAAACCCUGAUCCAGCCAUCCCGCGUGUAUGAGAAGGCCUUCGGGUUGUAAAGUACUUUUGGCAGAGAAGCGGUAUCUGCAGAAUAAGCACCGGCUAACUACGUGCCAGCCGCCGCGGUAAUUC